rnacentral:rRNA from 1 species
AGCGAACGCUGGCGGCAUGCCUAACACAUGCAAGUCUGACGGGCGGGGGCUUUUGGGCUCUGUCAGUGGCGGACGGGUGAGGAGCGCGUAGGAACGUAUCCAGGGGUGGGGGACAACCGCGGGAAACUGCGGCUAAUACCGCAUGGGGCCUUGUGGGGAGACCCGAAAGGGGGGAUCCGGGGCCAAAGGCGAGGGCGACCUCGCCGCCGCUGGAGCGGCCUGCGUCCGAUUAGCUAGUUGGUGGGGUGACGGCCCACCAAGGCUGUGAUCGGUAGCUGGUCUGAGAGGAUGAUCAGCCACACUGGGACUGAGACACGGCCCAGACUCCUAC